rnacentral:snRNA from 1 species
UUGGCCUGCACAAAAAGAAAAAAGAAAAAAAAAUUGGAAUGAUACAGAGAAGAUUAGCAUGGCCCCUUUGCAAGGAUGACACGCAAAUUCGUGAAGUGUUCCAUAUUUUA